CCCUCCAGCUACGUACUUUCCUCACACAACACAAAUCAAACAUGGCCACCACUUUUCUCUCUCUCCUCUUCCUCCUCUUCUCUCUCCUCACCCCGACCCUCAUUUCCUCUUCCCCUGUCCAAGACCCUGAAUUUGUGGCCCAAGAAGUUCACAGGAAAAUCAAUGCUUCUGUAGCUAGAAGGAAUUUGGGGUACUUGUCCUGCGCAACAGGGAACCCCAUUGAUGAUUGCUGGAGGUGCGACCCAAACUGGGAGAAGAACCGCCAGAGGCUAGCGGAUUGUGCGAUUGGUUUCGGCAAAAACGCCAUCGGAGGAAAGAACGGAAAAAUCUACGUGGUGACAGAUUCCGGCGACGACGAUCCGGUAACCCCCAAGCCGGGAACUCUCCGUUAUGCAGUUAUUCAAGACGAGCCUCUCUGGAUCAUCUUCGCAAGAGACAUGGUGAUCAAGCUGAAGGAAGAGCUGACAUGAACUCAUUCAAAACCAUUGAUGGAAGAGGUGCUAGCGUGCACAUUGCGGGUGGUCCAUGCAUAACGAUACAGUACGUAACAAACGUUAUAAUCCAUGGGAUUAACAUUCAUGAUUGUAAGCAAGGUGGGAAUGCUAUGGUGCGGGACUCACCACGGCACUACGGGUGGAGGACCAUAUCGGACGGUGAUGGCGUGUCGAUCUUUGGAGGGAGUCACGUAUGGGUUGACCAUUGCUCUUUGUCUAACUGCAAUGAUGGGUUGAUCGAUGCCAUUCAUGGGUCUACUGGGAUUACCAUCUCCAACAAUUACAUGACUCACCAUGACAAGGUCAUGCUUUUGGGCCACAGUGAUUCCUACACUCAGGACAAGAGCAUGCAGGUCACUAUUGCUUUCAACCACUUUGGUGAAGGCCUAGUUCAAAGAAUGCCAAGGUGUAGGCAUGGAUAUUUUCAUGUGGUGAACAAUGACUAUACCCACUGGGAAAUGUAUGCCAUCGGGGGAAGUGCUAAUCCUACCAUCAAUAGCCAAGGAAACAGGUUUGUUGCACCCGAUGACAGAUUCAGCAAAGAGGUGACAAAGCAUGAGGAUGCACCAGAGAGUGAAUGGAAAGGAUGGAAUUGGAGGUCAGAAGGGGACUUGUUGGUAAACGGUGCGUUUUUCACGGCAUCGGGGGCUGGAGCCUCCUCUAGCUAUGCAAGAGCAUCUAGCUUGAGUGCAAGGCCAUCUUCAUUGGUGGGGUCCAUAACCACUGGUGCGGGUGCACUCAGCUGUAGGAAGGGUUCCCGCUGCUGAUUAUGACCCCUCCAUUAAUUCCAAACCAAAAUUAUCAAAAGGGAGGGAAGGGGAAACAGAAUGACCCUAUUAAAUUAACUAUGGUCAUUUCUUUAUAGUUAGGAUGUAUACUUUCCUAUCAUUUCCUUCCUGCAUUCUUUUCUUUAGUUUUUUUUUUUUUUUUACCAUUGUUUUCCACUAUUUGUCUUCUUUUUUUUUUCUUUAGCUUUUUUACUUUUGGGUUUCUUCUAUGGUCUACUUUUGUCUGAUUACAACCUCCGCUGUAAACCUCAUAGAACCAAAUUUGUGAAUCUGGUCUGUGAGAAAGCAAGUGCAGAAGAGUUGAUAUAUAUAUAUAUAUAUGAUGAUUUUACAUGUUUCUAUGUUGAA